rnacentral:rRNA from 1 species
UGGGGAAUCUUAGACAAUGGGGGAAACCCUGAUCUAGCCAUGCCGCGUGAGCGAUGAAGGCCUUAGGGUUGUAAAGCUCUUUCAGCUGGGAAGAUAAUGACGGUACCAGCAGAAGAAGCCCCGGCUAACUCCGUGCCAGCAGCCGCGGUAAUACGGAGGGGGCUAGCGUUGUUCGGAAUUACUGGGCGUAAAGCGCACGUAGGCGGAUUAGUCAGUCAGAGGUGAAAUCCCAGGGCUCAACCCUGGAACUGCCUUUGAUACUGCUAGUCUUGAGGUCGAGAGAGGUGAGUGGAAUUCCGAGUGUAGAGGUGAAAUUCGUAGAUAUUCGGAGGAACACCAGUGGCGAAGGCGGCUCACUGGCUCGAUACUGACGCCGAGGUGCGAAAGCGUGGGGAGCAAAACAGGAUUAGAUACCCUGGUAGUCCACGCCGUAAACGAUGAAUGCCAGUCGUCGGGUUGCAUGCAAUUCGGUGACACACCUAACGGAUUAAGCAUUCCGCCUGGGGAGUACGGUCGCAAGAUUAAAACUCAAAGGAAAUUGACGGGGUC